rnacentral:rRNA from 1 species
UACAGAGGGUGCGAGCGUUGUUCGGAAUUAUUGGGCGUAAAGGGCGCGUAGGCGGCGCAGCAAGUCACCUGUGAAAUCCCCGGGCUUAACCUGGGAACUGCACUUGUGACUGCAAGGCUGGAGUACGGCAGAGGGGGAUGGAAUUCCGCGUGUAGCAGUGAAAUGCGUAGAUAUGCGGAGGAACACCGAUGGCGAAGGCAAUCCCCUGGGCCUGUACUGACGCUCAUGCACGAAAGCGUGGGGAGCAAACAGG